rnacentral:sRNA from 1 species
GGUAUUCUUUCUCUUCCCUAAACUUAUU